rnacentral:rRNA from 1 species
AACUCCCAAACCCCUGUGAACAUACCUUAAUGUUGCCUCGGCGGAUCAGCCCGCGCCCCGUAAAACGGGACGGCCCGCCAGAGGACCCAAACUCUAAUGUUUCUUAUUGUAACUUCUGAGUAAAACAAACAAAUAAAUCAAAACUUUCAACAACGGAUCUCUUGGUUCUGGCAUCGAUGAAGAACGCAGCAAAAUGCGAUAAGUAAUGUGAAUUGCAGAAUUCAGUGAAUCAUCGAAUCUUUGAACGCACAUUGCGCCCGCUGGUAUUCCGGCGGGCAUGCCUGUUCGAGCGUCAUUUCAACCCUCAAGCCCCCGGGUUUGGUGUUGGGGAUCGGCUCUGCCUUCUGGCGGUGCCGCCCCCGAAAUACAUUGGCGGUCUCGCUGCAGCCUCCAUUGCGUAGUAGCUAACACCUCGCAACUGGAACGCGGCGCGGCCAUGCCGUAAAACCCCAACUUCUGAAUGUUGACCUCGGAUCAGGUAGGAAUACCCGCUGAACUUAAGCAUAUCAAUAAGCCCGGAGGAAAAG